UACGUAGGGCGCAAGCGUUAUCCGGAAUUAUUGGGCGUAAAGAGCUCGUAGGCGGUUUGUCGCGUCUGCCGUGAAAGUCCGGGGCUCAACUCCGGAUCUGCGGUGGGUACGGGGCAGACUAGAGUGAUGUAGGGGAGAUUGGAAUUCCUGGUGUAGCGGUGGAAUGCGCAGAUAUCAGGAGGAACACCGAUGGCGAAGGCAGAUCUCUGGGCCGUAACUGACGCUGAGGAGCGAAAGCAUGGGGAGCGAACAGG
rnacentral:rRNA from 1 species